AAAAGAGCCUUCGAUUUGAAUUGUCGCAUUGGAAUCCCCCAGUGAUUGUGUUCAUUGUGUUCAUCUCUUUUUAGGGUUCCCAAUUUUGGUUUCUCUCUCCGAUUCAAUUUCAACCCAUAAAAAGCCCUCACUGACACACCGAAAAGAAAGCUCAAUCCAUGAGGACGACACACUAGUAUUACUCUACCACCAACUGUACAUAUAUUUUUUUUUUUUUGUUCAUUUUGUUCAUUUUGUCCAGGCCAUUUCCCCUCAAACCCUAGGAUUUUGACCUGUUAGGGUUUUCGAUUUCAUUUGUUUUCGUGUUUCGUUUAGUUUCCGAUCCUAUUCCGGCGUAGUUCUUCUUGAUUAUUCAGGUUAAGAUUUGGUUUCCAUGUUAUUGCUUUUCGUCUCGUGUAAUUGAGUCGUAGAUAUGGAUGUUUUCGGUAACGGAGCUAGAGUUCAAGUGGCAUCUACGUCCGGGGAUCUCAAGCGUUUUGGAGCCAAUUCAACGGAAGAUGCUCUGUUUGAUGCAUCGCAGUAUGCAUUUUUUGGGAAGGAUGUCAUGGAGGAGGUUGAAUUGGGGGGAUUAGAAGAUGAAGAGGAUGAUACACUUGCUGCUGGGAUUGAGGAGGAGGAGGAGGAGUUUUUGUUUGAUAAGGAGAGUGAGGACUUUAGACCUCCAUCUGAUAUUGACGAUCUUGUUUCUUCAUUUGAAAGGUUGAGCGAGGUUGGUAGCGGGCCUACGGGAGUUAUUGGAGGUAGAGCAUUGAGAGAAAGUUCGUCAGUUAAUGAAUGGGCACGUGAGGAGGGCUUCUCUAAUUGGCUUGCCCAGCAAGGCUAUAAUGUGCAAAGUGCUCAGGAAGGAAAAAGAUGGUCAUCACAUCCACAUUUUUCCUCUCUUGCUGAAUCUACGUCUUUAUAUAGGACAUCGUCUUACGCUGAUCAGCAGCCACAGCCGCAGCAAUACCACCAACAGUUCUCUAGUGAGCCAAUUUCGGUCCCGAAGUCUUCAUAUCCUCCUAGCGGAAUAUCUCCUCAUGCUUCGCCAAACCAGCAUUCAAGCCAUCUAAACAUGCCUUUUGUUCCUUCUGGACGCCAUGUAGUAUCAUUAUCUCCAUCAAAUCUCACACCACCAAACUCUCAGAUUGCUGGUUUCAUUUCUGGAUCACGAUUUGGAAAUAUGCCGCAACUUAACUCUGGUCUCUCUGCUAACGGUGGACCGCAGAGCCAAUGGGUCAACCAAAUUGGCAUGUUUCGUGGAGAACAUUCCAGUCACCUAAACAAUUUAUUGCCUCAACAGUUACCGAAUCAGAACGGAUUUCCACAGUUACCACCACAGCCACCGCAGCAGCAGCAGCAGCAGCAGCAGCAUAGGUUGCAACAUCCUGUUCAACCUCCAUUUGGUGGUUCUCUACCAGGUUUUCAGUCCCAUCUUUUUAAUUCCCAUGUAUCUUCAGGCCCACCCCACUUAAUGAACAAAUUGGAAGCCAUGCUCGGCGUACCGGAUAUGAGGGAUCAAAGGCCUAGGUCUCAGAAAGGUAGACAGAACCCUCGUUUUAUCCAUCAGGGUAAUGAGACCAGUAGUUUUAGGAAUAACUUUGGGUGGCCUUUCUGUAGAUCCAAGUAUAUGGGAGCCGAUGAAUUAGAGAAUAUUGUUAGAAUGCAGCUUGCAGCAACACACAGUAAUGAUCCAUAUGUAGAUGACUACUAUCAUCAGGCUUGUCUUUCAAGAAAAUCUGCAGGAGCAAAGUUGAGGCAUCAUUUUUGUCCUAAUCAACUAAGGGAUCUUCCACCACAUGCCCGUGCCAAUAAUGAGCCACAUGCUUUUCUUCAGGUCGAAGCACUCGGUAGGGUUCCAUUCUCAUCAAUUCGUAGACCUCGCCCUCUUCUUGAAGUGGAUCCUCCAAGUUCGUCUGUUGGUGGAAGCUCUGAUCAAAAGGUUUCUGAGAAGCCCCUUGAACAGGAGCCUAUGCUAGCAGCUAGAGUUACAAUCGAGGAUGGUCAUUGUCUGCUUCUUGACGUGGAUGAUAUUGAUCGUUUACUGCAAUUCAAUCAGUUCCAAGAUGGCGGUGCUCAGUUAAGAAGACGUCGCCAGGUCCUGUUGGAAGGACUGGCUGCAUCACUUCACAUAGUUGAUCCAUGCAGUAAAGAUGGUCACACAGUUGGGCUGGCUCCUAAAGAUGAUUUCGUUUUCUUGAGAUUGGUUUCUCUUCCCAAGGGACGAAAGCUUCUCGGAAAGUACCUUCAGCUGCUCGUACCCGGUGGUGAGCUCAAACGAAUAGUCUGUAUGGCUAUUUUCCGUCACUUAAGAUUCCUGUUUGGUAGUGUUCCUUCUGAUCCUGGGGCAGCAGAUUCUGUUAGUGAACUUGCAAGAAUUGUCUCAUUGCAAACCCAGAGUAUGGAUCUUGGAGCCCUAAGUGCAUGUCUUGCGGCUGUAGUUUGUUCCUCAGAGCAACCUCCACUUCGCCCUCUAGGGUCCCCUGCUGGAGAUGGGGCGUCCUUGAUUUUGAAAUCUGUUCUCGAGAGGGCCACGGAACUCCUAACCGCCCCUCAUGCUGCGAGUAACUACAACAUUACUCACCGUUCUCUCUGGCAGGCUUCGUUCGAUGAAUUUUUUGGCCUUCUUACAAAGUAUUGUGUGAACAAGUACGAUAGUAUCAUGCAAUCACUACUCAGACAAUCUCCACAGAAUCCAGCAGUAGCUGUCUUGGAUCAAGCCACUGCCAUCAGUCAAGAAAUGCCAGUCGAAGUAUUACGGGCAAGCCUUCCCCAUACCGACGAGCACCAAAAAAGAGUAUUAAUAGAUUUUGCUCAACGCUCGAUGUCUGUUGGUGGAUCUAACAACGGGGCCGAGCACUGUCGUCGCAACAACUUCGACUCCUUAUGAUCAAGAGGAGUUUAGUGAAUGUUGCACCUUUUAUCUUAUACAGUUCCAACGAAGGAGCCUUCAGAAUAAUCUCAUCAAAAUACAUGUGGAAGAACAGAGAAAUCCCUUCCUCCACUAGAGGAUUGGGUAGAGGAGGAGAGGUUUAGAGAUAGAAUACGGUGUAAGUGGUCCAGAUAUGAAUGAGAGAUAUAAUGUGGUUGGUUGAGGGUUAGAGUGUACAGGGUUGGUUGGUCUGUCUUGAGAGACCAAUUUCCCAUGGUCCUUCACUAUUUAUAAAUACCUGAGAAGGGUGGUGGGCAUGGGUUUUUUAGUGUUUUAUAAUUUACUUUUUAUGAUGUUAUUGGUGGCUCUAUGCCCACACAAGAGAGACCGAGACCGAGACCGAGACCGAGACCGAGACCGAGACCGAGACCGAGACCGAGACCGAGACCGAGACCGAGACCGAGACGACGGGGAUGGAGUUGGACGUUGGUUGUGUUCUUUUAGCCCUAACAAAUGGGGUUGGUGGUAUUCAUAGAUCUUAUGGGGAACUAUUUUCAUAUAUAUAUAUAUAUAUAUAUAUAUUUUAAAUAAGAAGGAUGUUAAGAAUAAUGGAAUGGGUUUUCCAUAUUAAUUUUGGUCAUUUGUAUUUACUAAAUUCCUACGCUUUAUUUGUCUGCUACAAUGGAAUUAAUUAAUUAAUUAAUUAAAUAUUUGUAUUGAUUAUGAUGCCAUGUCAUAAUUAAUACAGUUAUUGUGUUCGAUUUU